GAAUGGUUAACAAGUAUGAUUCGCAGUCACGAGGUCCCAGUUCCCACUGUAUGGCAUCUUCAUUUUCUUUAGCUUUCGGGUGAACAAUAUCUUGAUAAGGAAAAUAGGUAAACGGAAACUGUAUAGAAGUCCUAUCUCACGCUGAUUUGACUGAGAAUUAUGUUGGAGUAUAUGUAUCUGUGAAUUGCUGAGUCGCAUACUCAUUAAUUCAAGAGCAGCGUUUGGUACUUUCAUAUCUCCAAAUAACACAGCUAUGCUGCUUGAUCAGAGCAUUUACAUGAAAAACAGUGAUACUGGAUAAGAGAAUUGUCCUUUGAUUAACUGACAACAUUUCAUCUUGGCUGUAUCAUUAUCAGAGAGAAUUUGUUUGGUGGCAACAAUUUCAUCCUAGACGCAAGCACGGACUUCUGUUGAUAAUAAAUCAUGGAUAUUUCCAGUUUUACAAAGUCAUUCACAAGUUUGUCUUAAAUGUUUUGUUACUUGAAGGAUGUUUUCCAUACAAGCUUCAUCAUUGUGGCAUUGACGAAGCACUGGUGGAAUUAAUUAAAUAAAGUGAUCAAUAAAUUUGAUAGAAAGACAAAAUCAAUAGAAUAUUAUUGUAU